UCCGUCUUUCGGAAAGCGGAAAUUGACCUAACUUCGGAGUUACAUUGCCAAACGUCAGAGCUUAGUAUCUCUCUCUGUAUUUCUGUCUGGUUAUCUUCUCAUUUUCGUGAAAUCUAAAUUAGACUUCUAUUUUAGAUUGGUAGAGGAAAGCCUAAGGAUAUAACACUUCAAAUUUAGUCCAGACUUCAGAAGCAAUAUUCUAAUCUCUUUUCUAGACUGAGGGGAAGAAGGAAUUUUAUCGCUGGAGAUACAAUUCUGGGUUUUUGAAAACAAAAAAAUUCCUGAUACAGUUCUUCUAUGACCAUCAGGGGGAGACUGCUGCAAUCAUAGUAUGUUGGCUCCUUGGAAAUGGGUGCCUCUUCUCGUGGAACAGUAUGCUAACAAUUGAAGAUUACUUUGUUUACUUGUUUCCGCGCUACCACCCUACUAAGGUUCUUACCCUCAUUUAUCAACCUUUCACACUUGGAAGUCUUGAAAGAUCAGCAUACAAUGAGACAAAAGUUAAUACAAGAGGCGAAACUUAACUUUAUAUAUCCUUUUAUUCAUUAGUUCUUUGUUGGUAUUAAUUGUAAGUUCUAUCAACAUUCUCUUGUAUUGCAUUGUUCGAACAACUUUGUGAACUGAAACACCUGGACUUGAUAUUUCAUACACUAUCCAUUUUACUAUAUUUCACCAUUAUUUCCUGCCAAUCCAACUUAUCCUAUUCUGUCUAUGUGAUAGUUGGAUUUGGCUAAAUCUGGCAAAGGGGGAGUUGUGACUUAUAUUGGUAUAUGUGCUAUCAGUGGUGUUUUUGGAGUUGCAGAUGCUCAUGUUCAGGGUGGAAUGGUUGGAGUUGGAGACCUCUCCUUCAUGUGCCGCGAAUUCAUUCAAAUAGUCUUUCUUAGCUGGAAUGGCUGCAUCACCUCAGGUUUUUAAGGCUAAUUAUGAAAGCAAUCUUCGAGAACUCUAAGGAUGGACUUCGCAAGGGCACUAGUACGCACUUGUUCUGAUUGCGAUGUAUAAUGUGUGGGAUCUUAUUGGAAGAUGCAUCCCUCAUAAAAAUCCUGACUCUUAAAGUCAUAGAAGGGCCUAAUGAUUGCAAUUCUUUCUCAUUUUUUUCUCAUCCCACCUUUCUACUUCACAACUAAAUAUGGAGAGCAAGGCCGGAUGAUCAUGUUGAUGUUAUUCUUGGAAUUGACUAAUGGUUAUCUAACUGUUUGUGUCCUCAUUGCAGCACCAAAAGGUAGUCAAGUAUACUAUUAGCUAGGAAAAGUUUGGUUAACUUGUAAGCAUAACAAUUAAAGUUGUAUUGAGGAUGCUAUUUCUUUUUCCUUGUUCUUGCUUUUAUUUUUUCUAAUCAAAGGUUAUGGAGUUUUGUUUUUGUAGGCUGGGGUGACACUUGAUUGGUUGUGGCUUAUAGGCCAAGGCUGGUAUAUUGUAUCUGAUCCGAUCUGUUUGCAACCCUACCUCACGCAAGACUAGGAAGAAAGGUAUGGUGAUUUUCUUUUUGGGUGAAUUACUUAUAACUUCAGUCAGAUACUUAUUCCUCAUUUCCUCUUACCAGAUACUACUUGGAGUUACAGUCAAAAUUGAAGUAAGUUCUUAUGAUUGAUGAUUCAAACAGAGGGAAUAUAGUUUAUAGACUUUGCAACAAAGAUUUGAAUGAUUAGGUGGAUUUUUCAACAAUCCAUUCAUGGGGGUACAAUUUGAUAUUCGAAAUUUUAAAAGAGUUAAUAGAUUCAAAAUUAAAGUAAUUAAUAACAAAUAUGAAAAUAAGGGCCUUCAUUUAUUAAAUUUGUGAAAAUGCUGAUUGAUUCAUAGGCGGGGCAAAUUAUAGUAAUUUGUUUCAACC